GUAUUGAACUUUGUUUAGUGAGAAGUAGCAGAAGGUCAUUAGGAAUUUAUCCACAGUUACUUGGAAAGAAGUUUCUGGAGCCAAUGUCUGAAGUGUCCUUUCAAUGGAACCUGGUGGAUAGGCAAGAGUGGUGAUGAAUAUUGGGAAGGUGACCAUGGAACAGUAGGAGCAGGAUGUCUCUAAAGGUACAGUAAACUCCUUCUUCAAAGAAAACAUCCACAUAUUGGUUGAUCAGACAUUUGA
rnacentral:lncRNA from 1 species